UACGUAGGCAGCGAGCGUUGUUCGGAGUUACUGGGCGUAAAGGGUGUGUAGGCGGUUGUUUAAGUUUGGUGUGAAAUCUCCCGGCUCAACUGGGAGGGUGCGCCGAAUACUGAAUGACUUGGAGUGCGGGAGAGGAGAGUGGAAUUCCUGGUGUAGCGGUGAAAUGCGUAGAUAUCAGGAGGAACACCGAUGGCGAAGGCAGCUUCCUGGCCCAAUUCUGACGCUGAGGUGCGAAAGCGUGGGUAGCGAACGGG
rnacentral:rRNA from 1 species